rnacentral:rRNA from 1 species
UACGUAGGGUGCAAGCGUUAAUCGGAAUUACUGGGCGUAAAGCGUGCGCAGGCGGUUAUGCAAGACAGAUGUGAAAUCCCCGGGCUUAACCUGGGAACCGCAUUUGUGACUGCAUAGCUGGAGUACGGCAGAGGGGGAUGGAAUUCCGCGUGUAGCAGUGAAAUGCGUAGAUAUGCGGAGGAACACCGAUGGCGAAGGCAGUCCCCUGGGCCUGUACCGACGCUCAUGCACGAAAGCGUGGGGAGCAAACAGG